rnacentral:tRNA from 1 species
GCUGGCGUAGCUCAGUCGGUAGAGCAGCUGAUUUGUAAUCAGCAGGUCGGGGGUUCAAAUCCCUCCGCCAGCUCCA